rnacentral:rRNA from 1 species
GUCCACGCCUUAAACGAUGGAUGUUCGGUGUCGGUCCGUAAGGAUCGGUGCCUGAGCUAACGCGUUAAACAUCCCACCUGGGGAGUACGAUCGCAAGGUUGAAACUCAAAGGAAUUGACGGGGGCCCGCACAAGCAGUGGAGCAUGUGGUUCAAUUCGAUGCAACGCGAAGAACCUUACCUGGGUUUGAAAGGCAAGUGACCGUCGAUGAAAGUCGAUCUCGUAGCAAUACGCACUUGUACAGGUGCUGCAUGGCUGUCGU